CCGCAUGGGGAUAUUUGCUAAAGAUUCAUCGCUGAUAGAUAGGCAUGCGUUUCAUUAGGCAGUUGGCGGGGUAACGGCCCACCAAACCGACGAUGGAUAGGGGUUCUGAGAGGAAGGUCCCCCACAUUGGUACUGAGACACGGACCAAACUCCUACGGGAGGCAGCAGUGAGGAAUAUUGGUCAAUGGGCGUAAGCCUGAACCAGCCAAGUCGCGUGAGGGAUGAAGGUUCUAUGGAUCGUAAACCUCUUUUAUAAGGGAAUAAAGUGUGGGACGUGUCCUAUUUUGUAUGUACCUUAUGAAUAAGGAUCGGCUAACUCCGUGCCAGCAGCCGCGGUAAUACGGAGGAUCCGAGCGUUAUCCGGAUUUAUUGGGUUUAAAGGGUGCGUAGGCGGCCUUUUAAGUCAGCGGUGAAAGUCUGUGGCUCAACCAUAGAAUUGCCGUUGAAACUGGGGGGCUUGAGUAUGUUUGAGGCAGGCGGAAUGCGUGGUGUAGCGGUGAAAUGCUUAGAUAUCACGCAGAACCCCGAUUGCGAAGGCAGCCUGCCAAGCCAUGACUGACGCUGAUGCACGAAAGCGUGGGGAUCAAACAGGAUUAGAUACCCUGGUAGUCCACGCAGUAAACGAUGAUCACUAGCUGUUUGCGAUACAGUGUAAGCGGCACAG
rnacentral:rRNA from 1 species